AUUGAACGCUGGCGGCAGGCCUAACACAUGCAAGUCGAGCGGAUGAGAGGAGCUUGCUUCUUGAUUCAGCGGUGGACGGGUGAGUAAUGCCUAGGAAUCUGCCUGGUAGUGGGGGACAACGUUUCGAAAGGAACGCUAAUACCGCAUACGUCCUACGGGAGAAAGCAGGGGACCUUCGGGCCUUGCGCUAUCAGAUGAGCCUAGGUCGGAUUAGCUAGUUGGUGAGGUAGUGGCUCACCAAGGCGACGAUCCGUAACUGGUCUGAGAGGAUGAUCAGUCACACUGGAACUGAGACACGGUCCAGACUCCUACGGGAGGCAGCAGUGGGGAAUAUUGGACAAUGGGCGAAAGCCUGAUCCAGCCAUGCCGCGUGUGUGAAGAAGGUCUUCGGAUUGUAAAGCACUUUAAGUUGGGAGGAAGGGUUGUACGUUAAUACCGUGCAAUUUUGACGUUACCGACAGAAUAAGCACCGGCUAACUCUGUGCCAGCCGCCGCCGUAA
rnacentral:rRNA from 1 species